AAUUUAUACGGUGAAACUGCGAAUGGCUCAUUAAAUCAGUUAUCGUUUAUUUGAUAGUGCCUUACUACAUGGAUACCUGUGGUAAUUCUAGAGCUAAUACAUGCUGAAAACCCCGACUUCGGAAGGGGUGUAUUUAUUAGAUAAAAAACCAACGCCCUUCGGGGCUCCUUGGUGAAUCAUAAUAACUUAACGAAUCGCAUGGCCUUGCGCCGGCGAUGGUUCAUUCAAAUUUCUGCCCUAUCAACUUUCGAUGGUAGGAUAGUGGCCUACCAUGGUGGCAACGGGUAACGGGGAAUUAGGGUUCGAUUCCGGAGAGGGAGCCUGAGAAACGGCUACCACAUCCAAGGAAGGCAGCAGGCGCGCAAAUUACCCAAUCCCGAUACGGGGAGGUAGUGACAAUAAAUACUGAUACGGGGCUCUUUUGGGUCUCGUAAUUGGAAUGAGAGCAAUUUAAAUCCCUCACCGAGGAACAAUUGGAGGGCAAGUCUGGUGCCAGCAGCCGCGGUAAUUCCAGCUCCAAUAGCGUAUAUUAAAGUUGUUGCAGUUAAAAAGCUCGUAGUUGAACCUUGGGCCCGGCUGGCCGGUCCGCCUCACCGCGAGUACUGGUCCGGCUGGGCCUUUCCUUCUGGGGAACCUCAUGGCCUUCACUGGCUGUGGGGGGAACCAGGACUUUUACUGUGAAAAAAUUAGAGUGUUCAAAGCAGGCCUUUGCUCGAAUACAUUAGCAUGGAAUAAUAGAAUAGGACGUGCGGUUCUAUUUUGUUGGUUUCUAGGACCGCCGUAAUGAUUAAUAGGGAUAGUCGGGGGCGUCAGUAUUCAGCUGUCAGAGGUGAAAUUCUUGGAUUUGCUGAAGACUAACUACUGCGAAAGCAUUCGCCAAGGAUGUUUUCAUUAAUCAGGGAACGAAAGUUAGGGGAUCGAAGACGAUCAGAUACCGUCGUAGUCUUAACCAUAAACUAUGCCGACUAGGGAUCGGACGGUGUUUCUAUGAUGACCCGUUCGGCACCUUACGAGAAAUCAAAGUUUUUGG
rnacentral:rRNA from 1 species